ensembl:snRNA U2 U2 spliceosomal RNA
GUAGCCGCUCUGCCUUUUGGCCAAGACCAUGUGUAGUAUCUGUUCUUACUAGUUUGGCAUCGGAUAUGUUUCCUAUUCAAGGACAACGUGUUAGAUGGACGUUUGGAGCAGGGAGAUGGGACAGGAGCUCGCCCUGUCUGCUUCACGCGUAGACGUGGCAUUGCACUGCCCCCAGGAGUGUCCACCCCUU